UCCAUAAUUGGCUCUCCUAGUCCUAAUUCCACCACCACAGAGACACAGACACAGAGGAGGCCAACCACCAGAAUUAUACAAGUGCAACUAAAUAAGCAUAUAAACACUUUAUUGCUGCUUCAAACCAUUUCUCAUAAUUUAACAGUUCCAUAAACAAAUUAGAGCGGCAAAACAAGUAACUUGAAAUUCCUUUCUUCAUCUCAUACAUAAUUAGUGUAUCAUACAUAACUUGAAAUUUACAUUUUGUUUUUCAUUUCAGGAAUAUCACUAUAACUUUCAUUAACAUGUUGGGCUUGUCAUUUAGACUAUGGUAGACUGCAAUUAUGAUAACAGUAAGUAAGAUCAUUGUUUUCUGCAAUUUUAAUGUAAGUGAUGAUGUGUAAACUUCUUGUUAUCUGAUAACAGUAUGGUAGACUGCAAUUAUGAUAACAGUAAGUAAGAUCAUUGUUUUUUGCAAUUUUAAUGUAAGUGAUGAUGUGUAAACUUCUUGUUAUCUGAUAACAGUAUGGUAGACUGCAAUUAUGAUAACAGUAUGGUAGACUGUAAGUGAUGCUGUGUAGACUAUGGUAGACUGCAAUUAUGAUAACAGUAUGGUUGCCAUGUUGUGCAAUUUUCUGCAACUUCUUGUUUGCAAGUUAUCUGAUUUUGUAUUUUAUGUAGAUGUAUCAAGUUAUGUUCAGAUUGUAUCUGUGAAAAACAAUUAAAGACUUUGAACAUAUUUUCAGAUUGUAAACAGUCGAGGAGAUGUUCUUCAGUGUAGCCAUUACAUGCCUAUUGUUCGUCCUGAAGAUAAAGCCAUUAUAGCCACGCAUCCUGUAUUUUUUAUGUAACUUUGAGGAUGUGUUUUUGGAUAUUAGACUAUGUAUUUUUUUACUUUUGGAUAUUAGACUAUGUAUUUUGCUUUGCUUGGAAUGUACCAAUACAUUGGUUUACAGACAGGGUCUCUGUUUUCUUUUGAAAAACUGUUAUCAUUCAUCUUAUAGGGACACGGUUUUUGACCUCUACACAACCCAAAAUUUCAGACAGGGUUUCUGACUUCUACACGAAAUAACCAAAUAAAUUGUAGGGACAAACUUCCAGAUUUGAGGUGCCUUAGAAAAUAUACAAUAGAUCUUUCUUUUUCAUGAGUACAAGUUCCAUUAUCAUUCUAUUAAAAGAUAUGGUCUCCUGUCAUUCUAUUAAGUUUACGCCUAUCAUAAUGGUCAUCAUGAGGAAUGAUGCCAGAUGAAAUGUUUUCAACUUUUG
rnacentral:lncRNA from 1 species